GUGCGGGGGCGGGGCGGAGCGGCGGCUGGAGGCGGAGCGGGGGCUGCCUUCGAGUCGGCCGGCGAGCGGCUGCCGGUGGAGCGAUGCUGCGGCCGGAGGAACGGCCCGGGCGCCGCGCGGGAGCGGCGGCGGCGGAGGAGGAGGAGAUCGAGGCCGGGCGGUCGGCCCCGCAGCGCAGGGAGGCAGGCGACCUCCUCCAUGAGUGGCACUUUAAGAUCUGCCAAUACUCUUCCAAACCGAAGACUUUUUCCCUAUGAACAAUGUAGGUACCAAGUAUCAAAAUCAUUAAUUUGUGUCUCUUUUAUAAAAGGCUGGAUUUGUUCUUAUGGUUCGUACAUAUAUCUAUAUAGAUAUAUAGAUACAUAUAUAUAUAUAAGAAAUUAGAAGCAGCUGUUAUAUUUCAGAUCUUUGGUUAGCAUCUCUAAAGGGAAUCUGAAACUUUCCAAUCAUAUUGUGGCCAUAUAGAGGCUGGAACGUUUAUUCUAUGAUUUGAUUACAGCAGUUUACACCACAAGCUUACAGAACCAGCAAAGCAAAUAUAUAAAACUUCAUAUUUUUACUUAAAAAGAUCAUAAGGUUAAAGAAUGUGCUAGUAUUGCAUGCCAAAACUGCCAGCCUCACAAAUGAUCAAGUUAUACAUUAGAGCAUGAAAUCGGGGGUCAAAAUUUAAAAAUUCCAUAAACCACAUAUGGCCAAACCUUCCAGCACUCCAAAGCAGGAAUUAGGGUUUUAAAAGCUGUUUUGUAACGUAAGUUGAAUGAUAUGAAUAAACUUUCUGCAAAGUUGUAACGGACCUUUGGA
rnacentral:lncRNA from 1 species